GACGAACGCUGGCGGCGUGCUUAACACAUGCAAGUCGAACGGAAAGGCCCUGCUUUUGUGGGGUGCUCGAGUGGCGAACGUGUGUGUAACACGUGAGUAACCUGCCCUUGACUUUGGGAUAACUUCAGGAAACUGGGGCUAAUACCGGAUAGGAGCUCCUGCUGCAUGGUGGGGGUUGGAAAGAUUCGGCGGUUGGGGAUGGACUGGCGGCUUAUCAGCUUGUUGGUGGGGUAGUGGCUUAUCAAGGCUUUGACGGGUAGCCGGCCUGAGAGGGUGACCGGCCACAUUGGGACUGAGAUACGGCCCAGACUCCUACGGGAGGCAGCAGUGGAGAAUAUUGCACAAUGGGAGGAAGCCUGAUGCAGCAACGCCGCGUGCGGGAUGACGGCCUUCGGGUUGUAAACCGCUUUCGCCUGUGACGAAGAGUGAGUGACGGUAAUUGGUAAAGAAGCACCGGCUAACUACGUG
rnacentral:rRNA from 1 species